rnacentral:rRNA from 1 species
UACGGGGGGUGCGAGCGUUAUUCGGAAUUAUUGGGCGUAAAGGGCGCGCAGGCGGUUGAAUAAGUCAGGUGUGAAAGCCCUUGGCUUAACCAAGGAAGUGCAUUUGAUACUAUUUGACUUGAGUAUGGGAGAGGGAAGUGGAAUUCCUGGUGUAGAGGUGAAAUUCGUAGAUAUCAGGAGGAACACCGGUGGCGAAAGCGACUUCCUGGACCAAUACUGACGCUGAGGCGCGAAGGCGUGGGGAGCAAACAGG